rnacentral:rRNA from 1 species
GUACACAAAAAUGCACAUACUGUGAGCUCGAUGAGUAGGGCGGGACACGUGGUAUCCUGUCUGAAUAUGGGGGGACCAUCCUCCAAGGCUAAAUACUCCUGACUGACCGAUAGUGAACCAGUACCGUGAGGGAAAGGCGAAAAGAACCCCGGCGAGGGGAGUGAAAAAGAACCUGAAACCGUGUACGUACAAGCAGUGGGAGCCUCUUAAUGGGGUGACUGCGUACCUUUUGUAUAAUGGGUCAGCGACUUAUAUUCUGUAGCAAGGUUAACCGAAUAGGGGAGCCGAAGGGAAACCGAGUCUUAACUGGGCGUUAAGUUGCAGGGUAUAGACCCGAAACCCGGUGAUCUAGCCAUGGGCAGGUUGAAGGUUGGGUAACACUAACUGGAGGACCGAACCGACUAAUGUUGAAAAAUUAGCGGAUGACUUGUGGCUGGGGGUGAAAGGCCAAUCAAACCGGGAGAUAGCUGGUUCUCCCCGAAAGCUAUUUAGGUAGCGCCUCGUGAAUUCAUCUCCGGGGGUAGAGCACUGUUUCGGCAAGGGGGUCAUCCCGACUUACCAACCCGAUGCAAACUGCGAAUACCGGAGAAUGUUAUCACGGGAGACACACGGCGGGUGCUAACGUCCGUCGUGAAGAGGGAAACAACCCAGACCGCCAGCUAAGGUCCCAAAGUCAUGGUUAAGUGGGAAACGAUGUGGGAAGGCCCAGACAGCCAGGAUGUUGGCUUAGAAGCAGCCAUCAUUUAAAGAAAGCGUAAUAGCUCACUGGUCGAGUCGGCCUGCGCGGAAGAUGUAACGGGGCUAAACCAUGCACCGAAGCUGCGGCAGCGACACUAUG